rnacentral:rRNA from 1 species
UACGUAGGGUGCAAGCGUUAAUCGGAAUUACUGGGCGUAAAGCGUGCGCAGGCGGCUUUGCAAGACAGAUGUGAAAUCCCCGGGCUUAACCUGGGAACUGCAUUUGUGACUGCAUGGCUGGAGUGCGGCAGAGGGGGAUGGAAUUCCGCGUGUAGCAGUGAAAUGCGUAGAUAUCGGGCGGAACACCAGCGGCGAAGGCGGCAUCCUGGCCCUUACCUGACGCUGAGGCGCGAGAGCGUGGGGAGCAAACCGG